GAUGAAGAACGCAGUGAAAUGCGAUACGUAAUGUGAAUUGCAGAUUUCAGUGAAUCAUCGAAUCUUUGAACGCACAUUGCGCCCGCUAGUAUUCUGGCGGGCAUGCCUGUUCGAGCGUCAUUUCAACCAUCAAGCCCUAGGCUUGCGUUGGAGCCCUGCGGCUGCCGCAGGCUCCCAAAUCCAGUGGCGGGCUCGUCGUCGUACCGAGUGCAGUAAACAUCCUCGCUCAGGGAACGUGACGGGUUCUUGCCGUGAAACCCCCCACAUAUCAAGGUUGACCUCGGAUCAGGUAGGAAUACCCGCUGAACUUAAGCAUAUCAAUAAGCGGAGGA
rnacentral:misc_RNA from 1 species